UGACUCUUAAGACCUACUCGGCUGUUAUCGUUGUUGUUUUUCUGCACGAUAAAGUCCUUUGUCAAUUCUUGCUCCGGACCCCUCGUUUUAUUUUACUCUCUCUCUCUCUUGAAUUAGUCUGAGUGUUUAUAUCUCGAUUAAUCUACUACAUAACUUGGCGUCACGAACAGGAGGAAAUAGGGACUCUCCAGCUGCCGGGCCAGAGGACGGGACUCGAACGGAUCAUACGACCAGAGCUCAAGGGCUUAUUUUUCAACAAGAGAAAGGCAGAGUUCCAGAGUUGGAGAAGGAGCCACCAAGGGGGGUGGAGCCAGGUGACCAAGUGUACCUCGGGAUGUUCAGGAGAAAGUGGAACGAGCCCAGAAGAGAAGGACCAUACAAAGUCGCCAACGCAACACCAACAGCCAUCCAAGUGGAAGGAAGUGCCACGUGGUAUCAUCACAACCACUGCACAAAAGCUGCUCAACCCAAAGCCAGAGACGACCGUGAGGAGGAGGAGCCAGACGCAGACACACGUGGGGCUGACCAGCUGCCCCAGGACCAGAUCCAGUCGAGCCAAGAGAUACAGCAGCAUGAUGAUGCUGAAAACGGGGAGCCUGUUUCUGAUCCUCUACGGGUUGUGCCAGAUUUCGCUGGCACAAGCACAGACCCCGAGGAAGGAUGAAACCACGGGGACAACACAAACCUGGAAGGGCCAGGAAUUAGGGGGUGGUACUGAAAGAAGCCAGAGAGAAACACAGGACAACCCGGCCCCAGCUCACUCAGGAACAUUCAACAAGAAAGGGAAAAUAGUCCUAUAUGCUCAGAUACCACCGCAGAACCGAGUUAAUGAAUUUGUGUUUACUGUUAUGUCGGAUAACCAACCGUUAUGUGCAUUAACCUUCCGCCAGAAUUAUGAACAUGUGCAUAAGAAGAAUCGGUGUGAAGUAAAUAUCCAUUUUAAUCCAAUGAAAUGGUGUUUAACAGUAACGUCAGGAAUACAUGGGGCUAUAACAGAAAGUAUAAAUUAAAUAUGAGAGAAUAUAUACUUCUUAAAGCUGUGGCUUGGCAGAACAAGACAGGCUUUAGAUUGGCUUUUAGCAGAAAAGGGGGGAGUUUGUGCUCUUAUAGGUGAAAUGUGUUGUACCUUCAUUCCAAAUAAUACUGCCCCAGAUGGAUCAUUUACACUUGCGAUGAACAAUUUAAAACGUUUAAGAAAAGAGUUAAAGGAAAACGCAAAUCCAUGCAAGCUUGUUG
ensembl:lncRNA